GAGGAGCAAGGCUGUUAUCCCCACCAGAGGACAAUCUCAUGCAUAUCAGGCUGUCAGUGCUGCUGCUGAUGCCUGCUGACACUACC
rnacentral:lncRNA from 1 species